GUUCUCUUAGCUCAGUGGUAGAGCGUGCGAUUGCAAUUUCACAACUAGCGUCUCUGAUCCAUCGCGAGGCCGCGUGUUCGAACCACGCAGAGAACU